GACAGAGGGUGCGAGCGUUAAUCGGAAUGACUGGGCGUAAAGGGCGUGUAGGUGGUCAUUUAGGUUUGGUGUGAAAGCCCCCGGCUCAACCGGGUGAAGUGCGUCAAAUACCGAGUGACUGGAGUAAGAGAGAGGGUUAUGGAAUUUCCGGUGUAGCGGUGAAAUGCGUAGAUAUCGGAAGGAACACCAGCGGCGAAGGCGAUAACCUGGCUCUUAACUGACACUGAGGCGCGAAGGCGUGGGGAGCAAACAGG
rnacentral:rRNA from 1 species